CACGUAGGCACCAAGCGCUGCUCGGAUUUAUUGGGCGUAAGAGCUCGUAGGCGGUUCGGUAAGUCGGGUGUGAAAACUCUGGGCUCAACCCAGAGCCCGCCACCCGAUACUGCUGUGACUUGAGUGCGGUAGGGGAGCGGGGAAUUCCUGGUGUAGCGGUGAAAUGCGCAGAUAUCAGGAGGAACACCAGUGGCAAGGCGCCGCUCUGGGCCGUGACUGACGCUGAGGAGCGAAAGCGUGGGUAGCAA
rnacentral:rRNA from 1 species